rnacentral:rRNA from 1 species
CCUACGGGUGGCAGCAGUGAGGAAUAUUGGUCAAUGGACGAGAGUCUGAACCAGCCAAGUAGCGUGAAGGAUGACUGCCUUAUGGGUUGUAAACUUCUUUUAUAUGGGAAAAAAACAGGAUAUGCAUACACUCUUGUAUGUACCAUAUGAAUAAGGAUCGGAUAACUCCGUGCCAGCAGCCGCGGUAAUACGGAGGACCCGAGCGUUAUCCGGAUUUAAUGGGUUUAAAGGGAUCGUAGGUGGAUUGUUAAGGAAGUUGUGAAAGUUUGCGGCUCAACCGUAAAAUUGCAGUUGAAACUGGCAGUGUUGAGUACAGUAGAGGUGGGCGGAAUUCGUGGUGUAGCGGUGAAAUGCUUAGAUAUCACGAAGAACUCCGAUUGCGAAGGCAGCUCACUGGACUGCAACUGACACCGAUGCUCGAAAGUGUGGGUAUCAAACAGGAUUAGAUACCCGAGUAGUC